rnacentral:rRNA from 1 species
UUGGAGGGCAAGUCUGGUGCCAGCAGCCGCGGUAAUUCCAGCUCCAAUAGCGUAUAUUAAAGUUGUUGCAGUUAAAAAGCUCGUAGUUGAAUUUCGGGAUCAGAGUGUCGGUCGUGCCUCGGUACGUACUGGUAUUAUUGGUUCCUACCUUCUGAAGAACCGCGAUGUCAUUAAUUUGGUGUCGUGGGGAAUCAGGACUGUUACUUUGAAAAAAUUAGAGUGUUUAAAGCAGGCUUACGCUUGAAUACAUUAGCAUGGAAUAAUGAAAUAGGACGUUUGAUUCUAUUUUGUUGGUUUCUAGGAUUGACGUAAUGAUUAAUAGGGAUAGUUGGGGGCAUUAGUAUUCAAUUGUCAGAGGUGAAAUUCUUGGAUUUAUUGAAGACUAAUUACUGCGAAAGCAUUUGCCAAGGAUGUUUUCAUUAAUCAAGAACGAAAGUUAGGGGAUCGAAGACGAUCAGAUACCGUCGUAGUCUUAACCAUAAACUAUGCCGACUAGGGAUCGGAUGAUGUUAAUUUUUUAAUGACUCAUUCGGCGCCUUACGGGAAACCAAAGUGUUUGGGUUC